GCUGUCAGGGAGCUCAGGCGUGGCAAGGAGACCUGCAUUGGAGGGUGAGGAAGGAGCAUAGCGCCAUAGCCUCCUAGAGAUGUGGACGCCCAGGCUAGCGCAGCAGCAGGAGGGAGACAAGCUAAUGCAACAACGGCCGCAGAGCCUCUCGUGACCAGGGGACUGGCUGGAUGAGGCCCUAAGAACUUCAAGUGGAGGACAUCAAGAAAAGAUCACAUGCCAGAAUUUCUGCAUUUGAUUUUUCAAGUCGGCUCAUAAUCCCAUCAGGGGUUUUGAACUCAGUUGGCACGGCCCAUGUGACUCAUCAGUCCCUGAGGCAGUCCCAGGCAAGAAACAGGGACUGCUCACCACGCACGAUCCCAACAAGGCAACCUGGAACGAAUUUACGGAAGAACCCGGAGUUCCCAUAAGUAUGAAAUAUGUGAAGCCUGCCAGGCACAGCUCUCAGAGAGAAAGGCAGCAUCUGGAUUCUGGGUUAGUGUUCAAUGAUGGCACACCACCCUCUGCUCAAAUCCUGUAACACGUUUAUUUAGUGAAGAAACGGGUUGUUUCUUGAGGGCCUAGGUCUGAGCCGGGGAUGGUCCUAAGAAGGAGAUGCUGGGGGGCAGGGCCCAUCCCUGAGGAAUCUCUGUGCAGGUGGGGGCAGCAGUGUAGGGCCAACAGGAUGGGUCUGAGUGGGGCAGGGUCUGGGUUGGGGCAGAGGGCAGAGAUGAAUGUCCCCACCUUCUAAGGAAGAAGACAGUGCGAUGGCACAAGACAGGACAGAUACAGCUCCUACCUGGGGGAGCUCGGGGAAUUAAGGGAAAGUGCUGGAAAUAGCCAGGCGCACUGCCAGAGGGGAGCAAAAAUGGGCUUCCAUUUCCAUCUCAACAUUUCAGAAAGUUCCUGAAUAUAGACUCUUCCACAUCGGGACAUCCUUUACCACCGAGACACAAAGCUAUUCAUUGAAGAAUUGUCUGGGAAACACUGGAACUGACUCCAUGCCUUCUACCAACAAGGAGCUGGUAAAAUCAGUCAGAUUCGCAUGCGAUAAAACACUCUCCAGCCCAGGCAAGGAGGAGGAAGUCCUCAUUGCUCUGAUAUGCCACAAUCACCAAGAUAUAUUUUAAGUAACAAAUGCCAUGUGCAUCAUCAGGGAAAUCAAAUUUUAAAGCAUGAUGAGUGAUGAUUUCACACAUACCCGCCUGGAAAUUUUAAAAAAACUGUUAAUUCCAAGUAUUGGCUAGGAAGUGGGGCAAAGGGAAACCUCGAGCACACUGGCAAGUGUGUGAAUUGUCACAAGCACUCUGAAAGAGUUUGGCAUCAGCUACUGAAGUUGACGCUGUGAAUUCCGUGGGAGCCUGCAAAUCCCCGAGGGCAACCUGAACCCAAGUUCCCACCAACCCCCACGCCCCCCAACAUACACACCAGGCAAGAAGUGAUAAAGAGCAUUCACACCAGGACUGUUCCUAGAAGCCAAAAGUGGGAAGCAACCCAAAUGUCCUUAAAUAGUGCCAUGAAAAAUUAAUGGUGUCCUCUUAAUACAAAGGAAUUCUGUACCGAGUGACAACGAACCAAGCGCAGGCAGGCACAUCGACCAAAUCUUGGAUCAUACUCACCGGUGGGACAAAAGCAAGUUGCAUAAGACCACAUGCGUGAUACACUUCCUUCUCUUCGAAAUCCCAAAAGAAGAGACAGUGCACCAUAUUUAUUGUGUGCUGAUUUAAACAUAUGGCAGGACUAUAGAGGAAAAAAGGGGGGGCAUGAUAAGUACAACAUUCGGGAUAGUAUUGGGGGAAAAAGGUGCGGGGUGGGAAGAGAUUUAAAAAGCUCUGCUUCUUUGUCUCGGACAGGUGGCAGACACCAGAUGUCUUACUACAUUGUGGAGUUUUUGUUUUAUUUAUAUGUUAUUGUAUAACUGCUAUUUUUGUAGAUACUCAAUAUUUAAUAAAAAUGAUUU